UCCGAUGUAGUAUAGUGGUUAGUAUACUGCGCUUUCAUUGAAAGGCACCGCAGGGGCCGGGGUUCGAUUCCCGCAUCGGAG
rnacentral:tRNA from 1 species